rnacentral:rRNA from 1 species
GUGAAUCAUCGAAUCUUUGAACGCACCUUGCGCUCCUUGGUAUUCCGAGGAGCAUGCCUGUUUGAGUGUCAUUAAUAUAUCAAUCAACCUUCUCUUUUUGAGUGGUUUGGAUGUGGGGGUUUGCUGGCCUUGUAAAGGGUUCAGCUCCCCUGAAAUGCAUUAGCAGAACAACCCUGUUCAUUGGUGUGAUAACUAUCUACGCUAUUGAAUGUAAGGGGCAGUUCAGCUUUCUAACAGUCCUCGGACAAUUCAUCAUUAAUGUGACCUCAAAUCAGGUAGGACUACCCGCUGAACUUAAGCAUAUC